rnacentral:lncRNA from 1 species
CAGACUUUUUAAUGUGAUGGCUGGAUUUGAAUGAAUGCCUGAAAUUCAUAUUGUUCAGUCUUUCAAGUAUUAGAGAGCUACCCUAGAAAAAGUCCCAGACUGCCUGUUUUUCCAGUAAGGGCGGACCAAUGACUGAUUCAUACUUCCAUUAUAUCACAAUUGUGCUUUUGUUUGGCACCAUUAUGCCUCUUGCAAGUCGCUUGCAGAUGGUCCAGAAGCCACAGAACAGGCUGUACUUCAUUUCAAUUCCAGCCAUCACCAUCUUAUGGACUCUUUCCAGUUUACAACAAGAAGUUGGACAAACAUCCUGUGGUCAUGUCUGAUUAUAUAAACUGUUUUACUAGUAAAACAGUCAUCCAAUAUCACAAAAAAUGCAGCCACUUCUGGGGUGAAAUACAAGAAGCAGACAGACAAAUGAAUCACAGCAUAACGAACAGCAACCAGGAAGAGGAGAAGUCUGGUUAUGUAGACAAAGGACUUUUUUCCUGGAAACCUUCAUUGAAACUUCUCUCUCCCAUCCAUGAAAUAAUAAUAAUAAUAAUAAUUACAAAAAAGAAAACCAAAAAACAAAAGAAAGGAAAAACAAAGACGGUGGAUUGGAACAUGCAAGUGAAUCAGCCAUAA